rnacentral:tRNA from 1 species
GUAUCGGUAGCUCAAUGGGCAGAGCACUGGUCUCCAAAACCAGCGGUUGAGGGUUCAAGGCCUUCCCGGUACG